rnacentral:rRNA from 1 species
UCGAGGAUCUUCGGCAAUGGGCGCAAGCCUGACCGAGCGACGCCGCGUGCGCGACGAAGGCCUUCGGGUUGUAAAGCGCUGUCGAGGGGGAGGAAAGCCGCAAGGCCUGACCUAUCCCUGGAGGAAGGACGGGCUAAGUUCGUGCCAGCAGCCGCGGUAAGACGAACCGUCCUAACGUUGUUCGGAAUCACUGGGCUUAAAGGGCGCGUAGGCGGCCUGCCAAGUCAGGGGUGAAAUCUUUCGGCUCAACCGGAAAACAGCUUCUGAUACUGGCGGGCUCGAGGGAGGCAGGGGCGGAUGGAACUUCGGGUGGAGCGGUGAAAUGUGUAGAUAUCCGAAGGAACGCCGGUGGCGAAAGCGAUCCGCUGGACCUCUUCUGACGCUGAGGCGCGAAAGCCAGGGGAGCAAACGGGAUUAGAUACCCGGGUAGUCC